ACUGGAGGACUAAGAAGGCUGAGUCUGAUGAAGCUAGACUCUGCUGAUACAAUCCUCCUACAAAAAAAGGGUUGGAGAGAGCAGUCCCACUUGGAGAAUAGUAGAGGGCUGACUGUACUACCCAACAUUA